rnacentral:rRNA from 1 species
GACGAAGGGGGCUAGCGUUGUUCGGAAUUACUGGGCGUAAAGCGCGUGUAGGCGGCUCGAUAAGUCUGCUGUGAAAGUUCAGGGCUCAACCCUGAAAUGCCGGUGGAAACUGUCGGGCUAGAGUCCGGAAGAGGCGAGUGGAAUUCCUGGUGUAGCGGUGAAAUGCGCAGAUAUCAGGAGGAACACCAAUGGCGAAGGCAGCUCGCUGGGACGGUACUGACGCUGAGACGCGAAAGCGUGGGGAGCAAACAGG